rnacentral:lncRNA from 1 species
AAAUGAAUUCAAAUAGCUUCAAUUGGCAUGCAUUUUACAUUGAUACAUUGAAUUAAUAGUGCUUGGCCCUGGUAAACAUAAUAGGAGUCGGGGUUAGCUUAAGGGUAUGGCAUGCCAUAUAAACAUACAGAGUUCGCAGUACUGCUACCGAUACAUGAUCUAUAUUUGAGGUUACAUAUCUGGUACCUCAUAAGCAUGGCCACAGAGCUCUGCUAUCACAGAUUUGGCCUCUGAGCCUACCGUUCGGCACUCUGUGCCUACCGUUAUAACUCCUUAUCUACCUAGUCGAUCCUACUAUGUGUUUAUAAGGGCGAUCCUACUAUGUGUUUAUAAGGGCUAAGAUCUUAGUUAAUAUUGAUACUUGAUUUUGUGAACUUAUUAGUGAGUGUUAAUAUGUUUGCAUCUAUUACAUGCACUAAGCUGUGGUGAUUUGCUAUGAAUAGAAAAUGUGCAAUAAAGGAAAAAGAAGAUGUUUUUAUUCUGAUUAUCUGUAAACGUGAACUUAUUUACGCUAUUUUGUUAUUUGUUAUUAUCACCCACUGAGCAUUAGCUCAGUGUGUUGGUUUUUACCUCACGCAG